rnacentral:snoRNA from 1 species
GAGCUGAUGAAGGACUGUGCCAAUCCCACUCUCUGCUCCUCCUUGAAG